rnacentral:rRNA from 1 species
CUACGGGCCGCUGCAGUGAGGAAUAUUGCACAAUGGGGGGAACCCUGAUGCAGCAACGCCGCGUGGAGGAUGACGCAUUUCGGUGUGUAAACUCCUUUUAUAUGUCAAGAAAAUGACGGUAGCAUAUGAAUAAGCACCGGCUAACUCCGUGCCAGCAGCCGCGGUAAUACGGAGGGUGCAAGCGUUACUCGGAAUCACUGGGCGGAAAGGACGCGUAGGCGGGUUGGAAAGUCAGGUGUGAAAUCCUACAGCUUAACUGUAGAACUGCACUUGAAACUUCUAAUCUAGAGUAUGGGAGGGGGAGAUGGAAUUAGUGGUGUAGGGGUAAAAUCCGUAGAUAUCACUAGGAAUACCUAAAGCGAAGGCGAUCUCCUGGAACAUUACUGACGCUAAGGCGUGAAAGCGUGGGGGGCAAACAGGAUUAGAUACCCGCGUAGUC